UACCUGCAGCUCUAGUGGUGUCCGCUAUUAUUGGGCCUAAAACGUCCGUAGCCGGCUUAUUAAAUGCCUGGGUAAAUCGUACGGCUUAACCGUACGAAUUCCGGGUAGACUGAUAAGCUUGGGACCGGGAGAAGCUAGAGGUACUCCUGGGGUAGAGGUGAAAUUUUGUAAUCCUAGGGGGACCACCAGUGGCGAAGGCGUCUAGCUAGAACGGGUUUGACGGUGAGGGACGAAGCCCUGGGGAGCAAACGGGAUUAGAUACCCCGGUAGUCCAGGGUGUAAACGCUGCUUGCUUGAUGUUAGUCGGGCUCCGAGCCUGAUUAGUGUCGGAGAGAAGUUGUUAAGCAAGCUGCCUGGGAAGUACGGCCGCAAGACUGAAACUUAGAGGAAUUGGCGGGGGAGCACUGCAACGGGUGGAGCGUGCGGUUU
rnacentral:rRNA from 1 species